rnacentral:rRNA from 1 species
UACAGAGGUCUCAAGCGUUGUUCGGAUUCAUUGGGCGUAAAGGGUGCGUAGGCGGCGCGGUAAGUCGGGUGUGAAAUCUCGGAGCUUAACUCCGAAACUGCAUUCGAUACUGCGGUGCUUGAGGACUGGAGAGGAGACUGGAAUUCAUGGUGUAGCAGUGAAAUGCGUAGAGAUCAUGAGGAACACCAGUGGCGAAGGCGAGUCCCUGGACAACUCCUGACACUGAGGCACGAAAGCUAGGGGAGCAAACAGG